rnacentral:rRNA from 1 species
AUUGAACGCUGGCGGCAUGCCUUACACAUGCAAGUCGAACGGUAACGGGCCUUCGGGCGCCGACGAGUGGCGAACGGGUGAGUAAUGCAUCGGAACGUACCUUUCAGUGGGGGAUAACGUAGCGAAAGUUACGCUAAUACCGCAUAUUCUGUGAGCAGGAAAGCAGGGGAUCGCAAGACCUUGCGCUGAUUGAGCGGCCGAUGUCAGAUUAGCUAGUUGGUGAGGUAAAGGCUCACCAAGGCGACGAUCUGUAGCGGGUCUGAGAGGAUGGUCCGCCACACUGGAACUGGGACACGGUCCAGACUCCUACGGGAGGCAGCAGUGGGGAAUUUUGGACAAUGGGGGCAACCCUGAUCCAGCCAUGCCGCGUGAGUGAAGAAGGCCUUCGGGUUGUAAAGCUCUUUCGGCCGGGAAGAAAUCGUAUGGGCUAAUACCCUGUGCGGAUGACGGUACCGGCAUAAGAAGCACCGGCUAACUACGUGCCAGCCGCCGCCGUAAGAC